AAAUAUAACUGCUAAAAACAAUAACAAUUCUUACGCUUUAGCUGCGUAAAAACAGCUAACGUAGAUCCUCUCGGCAUCGCCCAUGUGCUCGAGUAAGGGUCUCAAAUUUAGUGGGAUACGCAUUGACUUUCCGUCUGUAAGUCAAUGAAGAGACGAUCAGGCUAGCGAUAUAAACAGCUCGUCGCUCAGCGGUUUAUAAAGCGAACCUUUAAAUAGAGGCGACUAUGAGCGUAGAUAUUCAAGAGGCGAUAUGUCUGGACGCGGGUUCAACUCCCGCCGUCUCCAUAU
rnacentral:tmRNA from 1 species